GGAGGGAGGGGAACAGAGGGGAAAGGGAGAAGGCUGUGAAUGAGGACCGUCACCUUCCUAGUCCCACCUGGCCUGGAGCUCCAGGAGAAGCAGUCAUCUAGCAGUCCCACCACUCAACACCCCCCCCCUCGCUUCCAGAACAGUUCCCAACCCUAUCCCUCCACCCUGUGAAGGACAGGCACUUCUCUUCUCCAGUUCUACAGCCACAGAGCUAAGUUCUAGACUGGAGCUCUGUUUAUGGUGGGUGAUGAGUGCCGCUGAUGGCAACAGCUUCCUGCCAACACCACCUCAGGUUGCAAGCCUACCUCAGGCAUCUCCUCGUCUUCAUCUUCUGAAGAUACUUCUUCCUGUGUGCACUGCAGUGGGGAGGGGAGGGAGAUGAGAUCAGAGCCCCAGUGACUGUGGAGUGCAGCCUCUGACCUACUCCCCUAAGCCUCCUGGUCUGGAAGCUAUACACUUGCCCCGUCUCUCCAACAGCCAGAGUCAGUGGAAGCAAGAGCCGGGAUGACUUCCCUAUCAGCCCAUCAUUUUCUUCCUACCAUAUGCCAAGGAAUAAAAAAAGAAAAAUGGC